UACGUAGGGUGCAAGCGUUGUCCGGAAUUAUUGGGCGUAAAGAGCUCGUAGGCGGUUUGUUGCGUCGGCUGUGAAAUCCCGAGGCUCAACCUCGGGUCUGCAGUCGAUACGAGCAAACUAGAGUGUUGCAGGGGAGACUGGAAUUCCUGGUGCAGCGGUGAAAUGCGCAGAUAUCAGGAGGAACACCGGUGGCGAAGGCGGGUCUCUGGGCAACAACUGACGCUGAGGAGCGAAGCAUGG
rnacentral:rRNA from 1 species